UACGUAGGGGGCGAGCGUUGUCCGGAUUUAUUGGGCGUAAAGAGCGUGUAGGCGGUUCGGUAAGUCUGUCGUGAAAUCCUGAGGCUCAACCUCGGGCGUGCGAUGGAUACUGCCGGGCUAGAGGGUGGUAGAGGCGAGUGGAAUUCCCGGUGUAGCGGUGAAAUGCGUAGAGAUCCGGAGGAACACCAGAGGCGAAGGCGGCCUACUGGGCUGCACUUGACGCUGAGCCGCGAAAGCCAGGGGAGCGAACGGG
rnacentral:rRNA from 1 species